UCCACGCGCUUACUGAUGGUGCACGCGCCCUCCAGGCUCACGCUGAACUUGGGCGGCGCUCGGCCGGCGCGGAACUUCUUCUCGCUCUCGUAACACUCGAGGCGCUGCGGAUAGGCGCGGAGCACAAAGAAGCGGCGGCCCUGGGACUUCUGCUUCCGCAGGUGGCCGCAGAGCCGCACGUCAGCCGGGCAGGCCCAGGGCCGCGGCGGACCCAGGGCCACGUCGGCUGACUCGAACUCCGGGGUCGUCGUGGGGUCUCCGGGCUUCAUCCCGGACCCAAAGCAGUAAAGUGUCCGGAGCAGGGGCUGGGACGGCAGAGGUGGGGUAGACGUAGCGGUCCCCGGGGAGGGGGGCGGCAUCCUGACAGGCGACCACCCGUCUUGAUGCCCAGCGUCUCUCCCCCCGCUCCCGACUUGAAGUUUGGGGCAGGGGGCCCUUAGCGUGUGCCCCAGUGGCUGCCCGGUGGCCUGAGACACCCGAGGCUCCGACAGACUCUGAGGCUUGACCCCUGCGCCUCCUGUCGCCUCGUCUCCUGUCCUCUCCCCUCCCUCCCAGCGCGGAUCGCGCCAAAGUCCCCACCCCCGCAAGGUUAACCCUCGCGCGCCCCGGAGCCGGACGCCGGGCGGUGCGAGUGGAAUGUGAGUGGGGAAAUCCAGGAGAGGCGGCCUCCGCCUCACCCCACCCCGUGUCCUGGGACUGGGCUUUUGCAGGGGCGGGGGUGGGGCGGCGUCUCUACUGGUCUGAGCUACCGGCGGGCCGGCCAAGAAAGCGGCGAGGUGAGGCGAGUGUGCGUGGAGCCACGUCUGUGGUGACCGCGCUGGCGGCGUCUGCAGCCCUGGAGGUGAGCGGGCCGCUGAGCCGGGCCACCCUUACAGCGGCACCCCCUUCCGGCUUCCGCCGCUCCCCACUCGGAAUGGUGUCCCCUCUUCCCACCCAGGAAUGGCUCUGUUCUCUGCCUUCCCAAGUAAUCCCAGGAGCCAGGGCUACGGAGCACUGGCCUAUGCUGAUCUUGGAGGAGCUGGAGGUUCAGUUUCUCUGCGGGGUUGGGGCCAUAGGAGGUGUCUUGGGGUAAGUUAACUUCUGGAUCGGUCCCUGUGCACAGACCAUACCCACCAGGGUUCCAGUCAAGUGGCACUGAAGGAGAGCCAGUGGAGGGAGAGACCAUCUCUCAGGGGCACUGCCUUCUUGCUGCACCAUUGCCCUCAGCCCCUCCUCACCACCUCUGUUCAAAAAUAACGCUGCCCAGCUGAAGGCUCUGAUCACAGAAGUGCAGACUCUCGGCACUGGUGGAGGUACCCUUUGCAUCCCGGGAGGCUUGAAAUGGGGUUGGGAUUCAGACAUUUUUACACCCCACUUCUGAUCCUUCCAAGGACCACCGACUCACGUUGGGGGCGAUGGCGCCGGUCAGUGCACACUCUGCGAGACAAACCGGUAGUUGACACAUGGGUGGGGGGCCUUAGAGGACCUUAUGAUUUCACUGUCAUGGCAAGUAGGAUACCUACAGUGGGGGAGCUGAGGGUUUGGGAGAGGGCAGCUGUGGCCCCUAUUAAAGAUGGUAUUUGGGGAGGAGUGCCUUCAGGUGAGUUAGGAGCUGUACCAGGAGUACUAAAGCAAGGCCACCUGGUUCUUUUUCUCCGGCUAGUCCAAGGGCCAGGAAAGCCUGAGUAGGGAGGGCUGGGCUUCCCACCCCGGCUCCUCCACUUCCCAGGCGUGGGAGGAAGGGUUUGGUCUAUGAGCUGGAAUACUGGAGAAGCCAACAGUGCGGUGUGCAGGAAGGCUCAGAUUCUUGAACACCCUUUAAGGGUCAUGCUGAAAGUGUGAUGCAGGGCACCACCUGGCAUCAUGAGGAUGGGCAUCUGGCCAGCAGGCAGCAGUGCCCAGGUUCUGCUCCAGGUGCCCUCACCCCCCCGCCCCACCCAGGUCAGCCAAAGCCUCUCCAAGGUGCCAGAGAGGUGGCGGCAGCUCAGGUGGUGCACGCGGGCCAGCGGCAGCCUCCACCGUUGAUGGGUGUUGGCCAGGGAGAGGCAGGUAUGUGAGAGAUCCUGAAGUGGACACCAGGAGUAUAUUCAAGGUCAUAGCCUCCAGUGUGGCCUCGACAUAUGCGCCAUGGAGAAGUGGCAGGGACACAAAACACAUCUGCAGGCCUUUCCCCUUCCUAGUUUUGGUGCUGCCUUGAGGAGCAGGGCACCCAUGGGGGCCACGUACCUGCUGUGCUCCUGCCUGCAGCCUUACUCCCCAGGUUUGAUUUGAAGCUACCCACAGGAGGGUCUCUUCAUAUCUGCUCCUUCCCGCUCCCCACCAACCAGUCCACCUUGGAGCGCCCCAGUCCUUGUGAAAUCACAGCCGCUGUCACAGAGACCAGCUCCAGACUGCCUUGUGUCAUUGAACCGCUAAGUGCUGGGUAAAGAUAAAGCAGGAAGCAGCAGGGAUCGGAGCACCUGGGCCCUGGGCAAGCAAACGUGGUCGAGUGGGUUGGUAAUCAAUGCCAGGUGAUUUAGCCUGCUGGGUACCAGGAAAAGCCUGGAGCCAAACGACUGACUUAAUAAGUUGCCCUGGCAACAACAUUGCCCUUGGCUCUACCCAGACAAGAUUGAUUUGAGCCUGUUGCCCUGGUAACUCGUGUUGCUCCCCCGGGACAGGAAGUAACAGAACUUCAGCUCUGUUGGGUGAGAACACCUCCCCCAACCUGAGGGGGUCCACCUGUGCAUCCCGCUGCCAGGCGCAGGGCAGCAGUGGGAUGGGCUCUCCACAUUCUAAGUGCCUAUGGAAGAUUCUUGUUACCAAAGGGGAGCCCCCAGGGAGGAGGCUGGGGCACUAGGGCCAGGCUCUUCCCGUGUGCCCCUCUCUCCUCCGUCCAGGUUCUCACUCCUCUGGAGGGGGAUGCAGGGACAGCGCCACCCCCUUCCUCCAUUGGAGAGCUUGACAAAGGUCCUGGGCACUGGCUCCUGCUUCCUCACCUGCAGAGGCAGCCGCCGGUGACCUGCUGAAGGCUGGGGUCAAGCCAGAGGACUGUUGCCUGCAGAGCACUGCCACAGCAUUGGCCAGGGGGACAUAAGCACUCGGUCAGAAGCCUGGUGGCAGUCUGGAGUCCCCAAUUUCCUCUUGGCCUUAGAUCCCCUCCCUGGGUCUCUACACGCAAGACUCACCUCCAAAGGAGAGCCCUGUGCUGCCGCCUCCGCCAGUGGUGGCCGACUGGAGCGUGGGGACCUGGCUGGCCAUCCCGAAGAUGCUGUGAUACGGGGAGAAAAGUUGGCACGCACAUCAUCUAGCACCAAGGAGGCUGUGAGGAAGGCUGGGAAGCCACCAGGGCAGUGGUGGAUCUUCGGCUUCUCAGACCCCAGGCCUUUGCUUUGCCCGACGGACUCGAGAACAACACGACGCAGAGUUGGCAGGCUUCUGCUCUAAGAGGGAUGCCUGAGGACUUCUGGAGACCACCUAGGACGCUGACCCAGCCCUUGCCCUGGGGGCCCUCUCGGGGAAAGGUCAUGUCCCUUCUCAUGUUUUCUAGGACUUGGGUCUCCAUUACUUCCCAGUCAGCGACCUCCUAGUGCACAGCCUGCACAAGUCCUGGUGCAGUUUUAGCCAUUUCCUUACAUGAAGAAAGAGAACAGAGCCCCUUCUUCCUGACAAGACCCUAAUCAGACUCCUCUCCUCCUUUCCUGGAGCUUCUCCUCUUUGUGCGGUACUUUGGGUGGGUGCGGAUGUGAAUGCAGGGUGACGUAUGGAUGUGGACAGUGGGCCACAGUUGCAAGCAAGGAAGCCAGAGGGGCGGAGCUUACCUGGGGGUGCUGGCUGGGCCUGGAAUGGGGCUUGGCCGGCUGGAGGCAUGCUUCCAAAUGCAGAAGAGCCAGGGCUACUGCCAAAGGCAUCGAAGUUGGCAAAGCCCCCAUGGGAAGGCGUCUGGCCUAUAGGUGGAGAGAAUAUAAAGGUUAUGUUUAUAUAUGAUGUAUAUGUAAUCCCUAUCACGCGGACUAGUUCUGAAGGCCAAGGGCCGCUCAAUGGGACAUCUGCCUUCCUGCAGGGUCCUCUUCAGAGGGAGUUGGCAGGAGCCUGAGGCAGAGAGCCAGACACAUGCAGGGGGAAAGGGCAUCUCAGAGGCCUCCAAGUUCACUCCCCAUUUUUUAUCCUUACUCCGUGAGGCAUUAACAUUUUUGUCAGGGCCUAGUUUGGGAGGAAUCAUGGAAAAAGAUUUUGCUGGGGGGAAGGGCUUUAAAAAGGAAAAAGGGAAACUAGAUAAUCACUUUGUUCCGCCCUCUACUGGCUACUGCUGACCUUCGGGAAGAGGGCAGGGGAAGUGGAACCUGUGACAAUGCCCUUGCCCCAUUUUAGCAGAGAGAGAAGCUAAGAAAAAGGCUCUUUCCAGUGCUCUAAGAGGGAGGGCUGGGAGCCCCCAGCUGUCAUGCUUUCUGGUCAAACUCCCAAAACUAAUCCCGGCUGUAAUCCCAGCUGUACUCAUCUGACCCCCACCCUCCCAGCCGUGAUACUUCAGAACUACCAUCACGUCAUUCCUGUGCAGAGAGCUAGGGCUGAGUGAAUUCCUUGUGUGAUGGGGACGUAUGUUGUAGGAAGGUUCUCUUCCCAAGUCCCACUUACCCCCAAAGGCUGGGAAUGCAGCAAAAGCUGGUGCCACCUGGGGAGCAGCAAAGGGGUCUCCGCCGAUGUCGGCCAGCAGGUCAGUACUGGCUUUCUUGACCGAGGAGGGGGGAGGUGGCUGAGAGCUCCGGGGCUGGGACGUCCGGGGCUGAGACUGACUGACAGACUUGGAGGAGAAGGCAGUACAUAUAGCACUCGGAAUCCCAGCCAUGACCCAGGCCCUUGCACGGCUCCCCGGGCUGCCCCCAGAGAGGCAAGUGGAGAGAGAAGAGAGGCAGAAACUACCCUCAACCGAGAGGGUUCCCGGGCAGAAGGUGCCUGAGCCCUUCUCAUCCCUAAUUCCUCUGUCCUCUCAGUGCAGCAGCUCCCGGAACCACAUAUUUUAGAGCACGUUAGUCAAGGCAACCCUGAGAUACACAGGGAGGUCGCCCAACAGCCCCUCCUCAUCUUUCCCAGGCGCCUGAAGCAGUGUCCUGGCCCCUGUUUUUCCUUGGAGGAAUGGUCACGUUUGAAGUUGAUACUCUGACUUCCCUAAAUACCACUUCCUGUUGGGGUCUUUCUUCCAAAACAUACAGAUCCAAGUUGCAGGGCACAUCUGAGAGUUACCUGGCUGGAGGUGGAGGCAGCAGCCGAGAGAGACGGCACAGGAUCCCCCAGAAGUGUCCGCGGGGACUUCCCUUCUGGAAUGGAGCCCUGGACGGGGGUGGAGGCGCCGCCUUUGGUAUAAGUGGGCCCUUUGACUUGGUCUGGGGGGACAUACCUUGGAGAAAGAAUAGUUAGGCUAAGAGGAGAGGGGUGAAAUCUUGGACCUUGCUCAGCUUAGGUGCUUGAGAAAACACAGGUUACAGCAGUCAAAGUCCUUUCUCACUUUCCCUACUGAUUCUCUUUUUUGAACUAAAGGGAAUUUAGCAACUUAGCAAAGUUCUGGCGAACUUUAGCUUCCCCUUUACUGUCAGAUGCUCAUUUUUUUCCUGCAGGGAUGUUCAGUUGGCUCUGGCUUGUGCCAGUCUUCCCCUCAUCUCUCCCUCCUCUUUCUGACACAUCAAACCAUCUGGGUUUCAAGUAAUAACACCUGCAAUCAUGCUGAGCAACAGGUGAUCCUAUUUUCCAACUUCCUACUCAAGGGCCCCCUUUUAUCUCCUGGGAGUGUCUUCAGGUUCCUCCUUCUCUGCCACCUCAGCUUCUAAGCGCUCACGAUCUAUCCUGCCAGCUGCUGGGCCUUCUGAUCAAAUCCCCUUCCACUCCAGUGGAUGUGGUCUCUACUCCGGAUGUAUCUUCUUUAUCCCGAGGACACCCCCCACCCCACCGAAGGGACUCCAAAAUUCUGUUUUAUCCACACCAGUCUCCUUGCUCCCUGAAUUCUCUUCUCCACCCCAGAGUUACCCCCAACCGUGCACACCCUCCCCCAUCCCAGAAAUCGAACAAUAGGAAGUGACACCUGGGGAGAGAAAAGGCAAGAGAGGACAGAGAUGCUGUUUCCUCAGCAGGAAAACAGGGGACAUACGAAUCACGGGUUAAAAGCAUGAAGCUAGAGGACAUGUGCUCCCAGCCACCUCUCUCCAUAAAUGAGAUCAGCUGAGCUAUAAAAAUGUACCCAAACUCCCUAGUGGGGGCCCUAGCUCUCCCCUCCAACCAGUCUACUGUCUCCCCAAAAGAGGGGACAUCAAAUCUGCAAGGUUAGUGACCAAGAGCAAGUUGUUCUUUCCUGUACCUUUAUUAUUUUGAAGUCAGAAUUCGGCCCUAACUGAAUCUGAGGGGAACAGACUCAAACCUUGUCUAGCCUUUGAGAGAAGCCCCAGUUCAGCUCUGGAAACUGGACGGUACGAUGAAGUGUGUCUUGGACACACGUCUCCGGAGCAAUCUCUCUCCUCCUCCUUACCAUCUCUUCUUCUCAUAUUUUUCCUGGAGAAACUCCUUCACCUUCUGAGGAUCCCUGGAAUCUGGUAUUAAAGAUGUCCGAGCAUCGAAAAGACCCAGCCAAAUCUUCCUGCAAACCUAAAGGAAUGAAGUCAGGUGACAGAGGAAAUGGGGCAGAAAGCGUGAAAUGGGAGUCAUACCAUUUCCAGCUCAUUCAUCAAUAGACAUUUAUCACGCACGGACACGAUGUGAGGACCCGGGUGCACCUACAAAAUAGACAUGAUGCCCGUCCUUGCAAAGUGGAUCAUCUAACGGGGAGGUCAUGCCAUAGAUAAAUAAAAAUACAUUUAUAAUGA